AUUGAACGCUGGCGGCAGGCCUAACACAUGCAAGUCGAGCGAGCGGCGGACGGGUGAGUAAUGUAUGGGAAACUGCCCGAUGGAGGGGGAUAACUACUGGAAACGGUAGCUAAUACCGCAUACCAUCAGAUGUGCCCAGAUGGGAUUAGCUAGUAGGUGGGGUAAUGGCUCACCUAGGCGACGAUCCCUAGCUGGUCUGAGAGGAUGACCAGCCACACUGGGACUGAGACACGGUCCAGACUCCUACGGGAGGCAGCAGUGGGGAAUAUUGCACAAUGGGCGCAAGCCUGAUGCAGCCAUGCCGCGUGUAUGAAGAAGGCCUUCGGGUUGUAAAGCACUUUCAGCGGGGAGGCGUUACCCGCAGAAGAAGCACCGGCUAACUCCGUGCCAGCAGCCGCGGUAAUUC
rnacentral:rRNA from 1 species